rnacentral:rRNA from 1 species
GAGGGGCAUCGGGGCGUAGCAAUACGCUGCCGGCGACCGGCGGAAGGGUGCGUAACACGUGAGCAACAUUCCCGGAUCAGGGACAUAACCCGGAGAAAUCCGGACUAAUUUCCCAUGGUUCCUUCAGGGGGCAUCCCCGGGAGGGUAAAGAUACGUCGGAUCCGGAUUGGCUCGCGGGACAUUAGCUGGACGGCGGGGUAACGGCCCACCGUGGCGACGAUGUCUAGGGGCUCUGAGAGGAGUGACCCCCACAUUGGAACUGAGACACGGUCCAAACUCCUACGGGAGGCAGCAGUGAGGAAUAUUGGACAAUGGAUGGAAGUCUGAUCCAGCCAUGCCGCGUGAAGGAUUGAUGCCCUACGGGCUUUGAACUUCUUUUGUACGGGGGCAAUAAGGGCCACGCGUGGUCCGAUGAGAGUACCGUACGAAUAAGCAUCGGCUAACUCCGUGCCAGCAGCCGCGGUAAUACGGAGGAUGCGAGCGUUAUCCGGAUUUAUUGGGUUUAAAGGGUGCGUAGGCGGCUUGCCAAGUCAGCGGUGAAAUCCGGGCGCCCAACGCCGGAACUGCCGUUGAAACUGGCGGGCUUGAAUGGUGCCGCCGCAUGCGGAAUGUGUGAAGUAGCGGUGAAAUGCAUAGAUAUCACACAGAACGCCGAUUGUGGAAACAGCAUGCGAGACACUGAUUGACGCUGAGGCACGAAGGUGCGGGGAUCGAACAGGAUUAGAUACCCUGGGUAGUCCGCACAGUAAACGAUGAUGACUCGCCGCCGGCGAUAUACGGUCGGUGGUCAAGCGAAAGCGAUAAGUCAUCCACCUGGGGAGUACGGCCGCAAGGCUGAAACUCAAAGGAAUUGACGGGGGCCCGCACAAGCGGAGGACAUGUGGUUUAAUUCGAUGAUACGCGAGGAACCUUACCCGGGCUCGAACGGUGGCGGAACGACGCAGAGAUGCGGAGGUCAGCGAUGACCGUCACCGAGGUGCUGCAUGGUUGUCGUCAGCUCGUGCCGUGAGGUGUCGGCUUAAGUGCCAUAACGAGCGCAACCCUUACCGCCAGUUACCAGCGCGCGAUGGCGGGGACUCUGGCGGGACUGCCGCCGUAAGGUGUGAGGAGGGGGGGGAUGACGUCAAAUCAGCACGGCCCUUACGUCCGGGGCGACACACGUGUUACAAUGGCAGGCACAGCGCGCUGCCCGGGGGCGACCCCGGGCGAAUCGCGAAAGCCUGUCCCAGUUCGGACUGGAGUCUGCAACCCGACUCCACGAAGUUGGAUUCGCUAGUAAUCGCGCAUCAGCCAUGGCGCGGUGAAUACGUUCCCGGGCC